AGAUCAGUGCUGAAUUCAAAAGAAUAACCACAGUUCCCCUGCAAUCCAAGCAACUGUUGCUGAAUUGGCUGAUUUGUACAAGAUGCACCAUUUCUGAGGACUUAUGGCACAGUGGCCUGCACUGUUCAAAGUUUGCAAGAUCAGUGCUGAAUUGAAAAGAAUCACCACAGUCCCACUGCAAUGCCCUGCACUGUUCCAAGUCCACAAGGUCAUGGAUGAAGUUGCCGUAGACGAAGCAAUUGAAGACAUCACUAUUGGAAUCUGCUCUGACAGAAGAUUGGGCAUCCCACCCUUAGGACAUUGUCAGUUUUAGUGUAUGUCUGUCACACACGUGACACCCAAUCGGAAAGGACUCUUUUUUUCAGCAACUAAAAAACAGCAGUUAUUUUUGUUUCUUUAAGUGAAAUGUACCUUUUUUCUAGAGAUCAAUUUGCUUGUAUGCACUUCCAGCUCCUUGCUGGUUUAAGAAUAGUACUUGAGUGUGCAUAUGUUUUGUACAUACUGUGUUGAUUUUGACCCAAACUAAAGACAAACAAAAUACCAAGACUAGACUUAAAUAAGACUGGGCAAUAACACAAAUGUGGUCCACAAAGAGGACAACCAAAUGAAUGGUGGACUGCCAGAUGCACGCGCACAUGCAUACAGUAUACGCGCAUGAACGCACACACGCACACCUACAAGUGUGGACUAAUGCACUUAGUCAAUGAGCUAAAAGAACUGUAUGUAGAGUGAAUUUUAUUUGUGUCCGAUGUGUGCACAUGGAUGCUAAUCCAGCCAGAGAGCACUUUUUCACUAGCCUGGUUCUAGCCAGACCUCUGUGUGUGCUCUGGAGCCCCCUGGUGGCACUCCAAACACACACAUCGGUCUGGGAGAAUGUGGCAGAAUUCAAUUUCUGGACGCAAAAAAUAAUGCCGAGCAUUUAUUGCAUCAAUAUCAAUGGCUGCUCACAUUGAGGAGUCACAGGACAUAUCAUAGACUAUAUUAAUGCUUUAGAGAUCAACAGAAAACGUUUUUGAAGGAAUUUGCUGAUAUUGAAGCAAUAAAUGCUGCGAUUAUUUUUUUGACUGGAGAAAUGGAAUCCUGCUACACGCUCCCAGACCUAGUAGUGGAGCUCACAAAGCUGUGCGGAACUACAGGUCGGGCAAGAGCCAGGCAACUUUUUCACAGCA